AUUGAACGCUGGCGGCAUGCCUUACACAUGCAAGUCGAACGGCAGCACGGGUGCUUGCACCUGGUGGCGAGUGGCGAACGGGUGAGUAAUACAUCGGAACAUGUCCUGUAGUGGGGGAUAGCCCGGCGAAAGCCGGAUUAAUACCGCAUACGAUCUACGGAUGAAAGCGGGGGCCCUUCGGGCCUCGCGCAGUAGGGUUGGCCGAUGGCUGAUUAGCUAGUUUGUGGGGUAAAGGCCUACCAAGGCGACGAUCAGUAUGUGGGACGGGCGGACGACCAGCCACACUGUGACUGAGACAGGGCCCAGACUCCUACGGGAGGCAGCAGUGGGGAAUUUUGGACAAUGGGCGAAAGCCUGAUCCAGCAAUGCCGCGUGUGUGCAGAAGGCCUUAGGGUUGUAAAGCACUUUUGUCCGGAAAGAAAUCCUUGGCCCUAAUACGGUCGGGGGAUGACGGUACCGGAAGAAUAAGCACCGGCUAACUACGUG
rnacentral:rRNA from 1 species